UGGGAUUACAUUUACCAUUGUGUCUGCCU
rnacentral:piRNA from 1 species